GUCCGUAUUGCGCAGUGGUCAGCGCAUCUGCCUAGUAAGCAGGGGACCUGGGUUAGAAUCCCAGUUCGGCACA